GAGUUUGAUCGUGGCUCAGAUUGAACGCUGGCGGUAUGCUUAACACAUGCAAGUCGAACGGUAACAGGCUAGCUUGCUAGCGCUGACGAGUGGCGGACGGGUGCGUAACGCGUAGGAAUCUGCCUAUUAGUGGGGGACAACCUGGUGAGAACCAGGCUAAUACCGCAUACGCCCUACCGGGGGAAAGGCAGGGGAGUCUUCGGACCUUGCGCUAAUAGAUGAGCCUGCGUUAGAUUAGUCUUGUUGGUGAGGUAAUGG
rnacentral:rRNA from 1 species